CCUUGCUAUAAUAAAACUAUAACCAUAAGUAUAGCACUUCCUGAGUUCUGUGAAUCAUUCUGAAGGUGGUUUUGAAACCCUCUCAGUUUGUUGCCAGAUAGUCUAAAGUGAGGGUGGUCCUGGAAACCCACAAACUUGUGGCUGGUGUGUGAAGUGAAGGCAGGGUUGCGGGGACUGUUUCCUCCAGCUCCACGGUUAACUAAACUCAGCUCAGCACCGGGAGCUGCCAGAACAGAAGGACCACGUGGGAACGGAAGGUUCCUGUAGGUACCCAAAUUUCUGGAAAUGGAAAGGGCCCAACUCUCCCAUAUUGAGGGGAUGGGCCCCACUGGAUGUGAGCCAAUCAGUGUCUUCUGUCCUGUGAGCUCAUGAUUUACGCUGAUCUAUAACCUGAGAUGGCCUUGUCAGGGGGACCUCCAGGGACUGCUGGAACUUGGACUCUUGUCAGCCUGGUAAAUGGUAUGUCUUAGAUCUGCUGCAGCCGUCGUGGAAAGCUUGAAGCUGCCAGGAGAGAGGGGUUCCAACAUGUGGUGGCUAAAGAACAAAUCCAACUCAGAGGAAGCAGAGCCAAGAAAUGCCGUUUGAAUCUUGGAUCAAAUUGUGCCUGGAUCUCCAGCCAAAGGCUCCAGAGACAGACUUGGGUGAGAAACCUGGCCUCAGGGAAAAGCAAAUGAAGCCUGUUCAUUCCCCAGAAGAGAAGCAAGAGAGAAUUGCUCACCAUGACGGGCGCAUCUCAGCUUUGCUAGUUUAACGUCCUCAUGAACAGCACCAGCAAGGGGCCUUCUAUGAGGCUGAACUUCCUACUCACCUGUGCCUAUUAGAGACACGACCCAAGGCUUUGGGAACUUUCUCACACCUUCUGCUUCCAUGGUGGCAAGGAGGGGGCCAGUCCGUUCACCCUGACCUCCAAGUGACUCCAGUGGUAAAGGCUACGGGGCCUUCAAUCACUCGAAAACCAGGAGGCAUAUUUUUAGAGACAUGCUGUCAUCUGGGCAGCCUUGAGUGGAUAUCUUCUCUGCCUUUCCUCAGAUCAGUGGGUUUGCAAGAAACCCUCCUAGGCCAGUAGCCUUAGAGGAAGUUCCUGCUAAUUCAAGAGAAAGGGCAAGGGGGACAGCCAGCUGGAACCUAGAGCUGCUCAUGCUCCUGGAACCCUGGGCGGGUGCAGGCAGGAAUUUACAGAUCUGCCUUUCCCUCAUCAUUCCGCAGGAAGCUUCUUUAAAUGAGCCUCAGCCCAGGAGCUAUCGUGGGGCCUGGUGAUUAUAGCAGAGACCGAGAUAACAGAACCAUGGAGAUGCCACCUCUGUCUGGAUACUGACCCCACGGUCCAGGAAUCAUCAACUCAGCCCGAGGGCAAAUUUUGUUCUGUUUUCUCUGUGCGAAAUGCCAGAAUGCUCCUGCCUCGAAGAGGUUGACUCUGUUGUCAGCUGUGGGAAAAAACAGCCAGAGUUGCUAUUUACACCCUGAACUGCAAGCUGGGUAAAAAUAGCACUAGCAGCUUGGUCCGGCUUCAAACCCCACUGCAGAGAGAUUAUUUUUGGAAGAGAAGAUUUUCCUCCCCACCCACAGAUCUGAAAAUGGUCACCUCCCCGCAAGAAAGGAGGAGAGUUGAUCCCACGCAAAGGUGAAAACUACCCCCUUCCCACUUUCUCUGCCCAGGACAGCACAUCGAGACCGAUGAGCAAUGCCCUUCCCUGACAGCAGGUCAGGCCCA
ensembl:lincRNA